rnacentral:rRNA from 1 species
UCAGGAUGAACGCUGGCGGCGUGCUUAACACAUGCAAGUCGAGCGAAGCACUCUGGAAGAUUCUUCGGGAUGAUUCCUUAGUGACUUAGCGGCGGACGGGUGAGUAACGCGUGGGCAACCUGCCUUGUACAGGGGGAUAACAGUUAGAAAUGACUGCUAAUACCGCAUAAGCGCACAGCAUGGCAUCAUGCAGUGUGAAAAACUCCGGUGGUACAAGAUGGGCCCGCGUUGGAUUAGCUAGUUGGUGGGGUAACGGCCCACCAAGGCGACGAUCCAUAGCCGGACUGAGAGGUCGAACGGCCACAUUGGGACUGAGACACGGCCCAGACUCCUACGGGAGGCAGCAGUGGGGAAUAUUGCACAAUGGAGGAAACUCUGAUGCCAGCGACGCCGCGUGAGUGAUGAAGUAUUUCGGUAUGUAAAGCUCUAUCAGCAGGGAAGAAGACGACGGUACCUGACUAAGAAGCCCCGGCUAACUACGUGCCAGCCGCCGC